rnacentral:rRNA from 1 species
UAAUUGAAGAGUUUGAUCAUGGCUCAGAUUGAACGCUGGCGGCAGGCCUAACACAUGCAAGUCGAGCGGCAGCACGAGGGAGUUUACUCCUGAGGUGGCGAGCGGCGGACGGGUGAGUAAUGCCUAGGGAUCUGCCCAGUCGAGGGGGAUAACAGUUGGAAACGACUGCUAAUACCGCAUACGCCCUACGGGGGAAAGGAGGGGACCUUCGGGCCUUC